rnacentral:lncRNA from 1 species
CAGUUCACUCGCAGACACCCCCGCCCCUGCCUUCUUGUUUUAGCCACGUGAGAUGAGUGUGUAUGGAUGUGUAAGUAUGUAUGUGUGUACUCACCCGAGAGUUCCAAAGCGACUUUUUAACAGAAACUACUUAAGUUAAGAAGUGUCGGUCCCAGAGUUUCCCGCGCUGUGGGAAACUGUUCUCACCCAACAGGAUGAGCAGAGGCCAUCUAGGAACCUCUCAGACGGUACCUUUCCCUGUCAUCAAUGUUAGUGCUGACAACUGCAUCCAUCGCCCUUAGACGGGACAGAGUGGGCUACCCAACUGCUUGCUUUGGUUUGGAUUCGAAGACAUAGAUCACUCGUAGUGCUGAAACCUCGCUUCGGGAAAAUACUGCACAGAAGAUUCCCUGGGGACCGAACAUCGGGACCUGCGCCUCUUGGUCCUUCGAGGCGCCGGCAUUUCGGGCUGUGCAGGACUGGCUGCCCAGACUCUCAAGUCCCAUCUCCUCCAGUCCCAGAAUAUGAACGCUUUUUAGGGGGAAGCAUAGACCUCACCAUAAACCACAACUGACAAAAAUCUGACCCCGUAGAAUCUCCUUGGAAACCACGGAAGUUCGAGUCUUCUAGGCUUCCCUUCUGUCUGCCAACCUAAGCCUAAUAGGGCAGCCUAAAUUCCUAAUAGGGUCAGUGAGCUGAAGGCCCAGAGCUAGACGGGGGCCCAAGGACGCCUCCAGGACAGUUGCGUUCUGUCCUAGGCUGCAAAGAUGAUUAAUAGUCUCAGUACUUAAAGUGUUUGGGAAGAUGCUAAUUUGUGUGCCACUGAUAAAAAUUAAA